rnacentral:lncRNA from 1 species
CUGAUUUUAAAAGAAAUUAAAACAUUUUCAUGGGUCCCUCUGAGCACGAUUGGCUCUGAGCACUGUGGUUUAAUUGUGCCAGAUAGAUAUGUAAGCCCUGGGUCUAGGACCUUCCAAAAGGUUAGGACCCCUGUGAAUUUAAUUUUAUAUGUAUUUUUUAUUACUUUUUUUGUUUGUUUGUUUUUGGUUACAGGCUUUAGUUAGUUCUGCUCCCGGUGAAUUUUAAAACGUCACGUUUGUGGCUUUAAGAGAGGCCCUCUUGCAAAUUCCCUGGCGGUCCUCUGGUUCCGACUCUGCCCUUUCAUUGACGAGGGCCUAGGUUCAAGCCCUGCUGAGGGUACUAAGAUCCCGCUGGGUGACUCGGCCAAAAUAUAUAUAUAUAUAUAUAUAUAUAUAUAUGCGCCAUCAUGCUGUCUGUCCCUCUUCCAACCACAAAAGCGUCCCCAAACCCCUCCAGGGUGGCCAUGAUUCCCACUCUCACCCCUGUCCCCAAUUAUCCCAUCCCUUUUGUUUUUUUCCUGGAAAACAUUAAUUAUCCAUUGAGAUGCACUAAAUUGUGGUGCUUUCUCACUAGACUGUGGGUCCCCGCAGACAGGGUUUUUGUCCCUGCGGAGCCCCGUGGUGGUCUCCCGGGCUCGGGCCUCCCAGAGGUCCCCAAAUACGGUCUACGUGGCAGCCGGGGAGGUAGAGAGGACGUCGCUGGGGCGCCUCAGGGACUUUCCCUGUCCCGCUGGGAAAGCGUGAUCUCACCCGGUUCCUCCCUCCUCGCCGGACGCGGAAGAGGCGGGCGGAGGCCGUGCGCCUGGGGCUACAGGCGCGCCCUCCGCGCCCUGCCAUCCGCGGGCAUCGCCACCAGGCCAUCAGGCCACCAACAUCCGCCCCGAGGACCCGAGCAGUGCGGCCGGUCGCCCCCGCGACCCCAGGUCAGUUCUACAGCCCCCAGGGGUCCUGGUGCCCGUGAGCAGGGUGGAGACACCGGGCCUGCAGCGCAGCGGGGCGGCGUGCGGAACAUGACUUCAUCAUCCAGUGUUUCUCCCGCAGCCGCUGGA